CAGGAAGGCCCUCAGCGCCUGGAACUCUGCCCCCACCUUCUCCUGCUCCGCUGCCAUCUGCUUCUGUCCCAGGAGGAGAAGUUGGAGAGAUGCGCCCACAGUCUGUGGACCUGCACUCCAUCACCUAAACCAAGGCAGCAUCAUACUCCCCGCAGAACUACGCCAAGCUGCAGCUUCCUCACUUGAAAAGCAGAAGGGAUAGAUUAGUGCCUCCUGGGGCAACCAUAGGAUUAAACUGAGAUUGCUUUUU